AGCCAUGCAGCCAUUCUCACUGGAUUAUGCCUUAGCAAAUGUUUACUUGAAAGGAGGUCAGCAUCCAAGACAAGUUUUGCCUGUGGUGUGAACAGACCCUCAGUCUCUUGUUAGUUGCUGAAGUACUUUUAAGUAUUUACUCCUGUAGGCACAAUGAGGAAACUCCCUCUUCUUCCAUUGCUGGUUUAUUUCCAGGGAAAUUUCUGGGUGAAAGGAAUAACAGUCAUUGCCCCAUGUGAAAUAAAGUCUGUGCUAGAACUGAGCAUAACAAACUGACACUGAAACAAAGGAGACCUUGGGCAACAGGAUCAGAGCAGUCCCCAUAGCCUACAAAGCUUCUGGAGCAGGACUCCACAUCUGCUCCCCUGGCCAGGAUCCAGACUCAGUGCAAGCCAGACAAAGAUUUCAAUUACUGAAGGAGCAGCUGUUGCUCCAGAAGACAGGGGUGAAGCCAAUCCCUUCUCCACAUGCUACUCAAACUGCACAAAAAGCUGGCCAGCGGGCCAGAGCACAGCUGUAUGGUGUAACUUAGCUUUUCAAGGAAAGGACACCAGUUUAAUUAAGGUCUGUGCUUGCAACAGAGGGCUGAACAGUGCCCAGUUCUCCUCUUCUCUGGAUCAACAGCAGCAGCACGAGCUUCUCAUGUGUGCACGUACCUCGCCUCUAGCAGGGACUGGUCUCCGUUUCACUGCAUCCCCUUCUGGCUCUGCUAACACUAUUCUCAGUUGCCGACCUGUUGUUAUGGGCACAGCUUGGCUUGUGUGGCUGCUUCAGCUGAAGACUCUCCAGGGACUGUUUGACCUCAGCAUGGAAUAUAAGGCUACACAGCGAGUUUUGGUGCAAUCUACACUGCAAUGUGCAGCUGGCUCAGGAGAAAUGAGUUUUGGCGCUGGAAGCAACCAAACAAGCUGAGAUCCCAGUGCAGGCUUAUUUCUUGGAGCAGUGCACAACCUCACAGAAGAAAGCUUCUGAUAGAAAGAAAAAAAUAUUAUCAUCUGCCAGGGCUAUUUAUGUAAAAUUGUAAAGAAGCAAGUUUAAAAAUAGUUAUGGAGAGAAUAAAGGUAUUUGACCUAUUUGAAACAGACUUUAACCUUCUCUAAGCCCCUGAGAAAACUGAAGAGAAACCUCAGAAAAGUGGGUUAAGCAAAAAAGACAUUCUGAGAAAUUCCUACCACAAAGGCAAAAGAUUAAUUUCAUCUCUAAUGCAUAUGUGCUAUUAAUUCACCUCAAAUUGUUAAUAAGGUGAGUUAGCGAAGUGUUCUACCAAUAAGCAGGUCACAACAACAAAUUUCAAAUGUGGAAAAGCCCCCCAAAAAGAAAUUUCUCUCUUCCCAUGAUGAUAUGGAAAAUGGGUUAUAAAAGCGUCUAAAGGUGUCCUUUGCUUCCUCCCGAAUUUUACCUCAUUAUCACAGCCUCAGAUCUCUGCUCAGCCUAACUCCAGGCAUAAGAUAGGUAAGAAAAUAACCUCACAUAGAAAUCUGGAGGAAAUAUGCUGCAUGGAUAGAAUACAGUAUUUGUAAUAUAUUUCUGAAAAGGCAACAUAAGAUUGGACAGAAAUUUUAUUUAUGUUUUUCCUGUAACAAGUUGAAAUACUAUUUUUUGGAAGGUAAUGGAGUCUCUGGUUAAACACCACCUCUAAUGGUUUUAAAUUAUGAUUUUCUUUAAAAGGAGGUAGUAUAAUAUUGGAAAUAAGAACAACAACAAGAAAAAGUAUUUAGUAUAGGCUUUAAAUCUGUGGCAAACUUAGGAUGCCUCACUUUGGGUGCAACCGACUUGAAUAUUAUUUUAAUUUUCCAGAUUACUACAGUGACUUAAUUAUCAUAGUAAUUACUUAUUUUUGCAAUUUAUUAAUAAUUAAAUUAUCCAUGCAAAGCAUGGGAGGCCUAGUAUGCUCAUUUGUAAAAUAUUUUUUUUUACCUUACAAUCUGUUUCAAUUCUUUACAGUAGACCAUGUCAUAAAAUAUGGACCAUUUUUAGUGGAGGAAUGCUCUUUGAAAGCCCUCCCCACCAGGCAAUGCAGAAAAAAAUUAGAAACUAGGGUUCAUAGUAUCUAUUGUCCAUCCACUACUUUUCUAAUUUCUUCCUUUUUUCCCCUCUAUUUUAUAUGAAGACAAUACAGUCAAGACUAGUGAGUUAGGACACUUUUGGCUGUCUUUAAUUGCAAUUUCCUUACACAUCUGUCAAGGAAUCUUAUGUGAGAAAAAUAGAGGAAUUCAUUGCACCUGGCAAAGGCUUUCCAGCAUCAUUUAGAAGAUAUAAUUGUACGUGACUUGUCCUGUGCAUUAGGGAUCUUCAGCCCUGUAGGUAGUCUUCCUAGAAUAAAUGCUGUCGGAUUAGGUAGUCUAUCCAAUAUGCAGUUUGGCUGAAAAAAAAAUAAAAAAUAAAAAAGAUUUUCUGCUUUAUACUCUGUGUAGAAAAUGAACUGGUUUUGCUUGUUGUAUUGCAUUUCUUCCAUGUGAGCACUGAAAUAAAGCUAGUUUUUCUUUUUGAAGCAUUUAUUGUUACCUCUGACAUAAUGGGCUAAGGGGCAAGUGAAGUUAAAGCAUCUGAGCUAAGCAAAGGUGACAUUAACCAGUUUUAGUGAGAACAGCUUGUCAGACAGUAUUAAGUUCUGCUUGGGUCCAUCCGGGUUUCCAGCAUGUUAAUAAACAUUGCCACUAAAAGAAGGGAGCAAAAUUUACUAGAAGACAAUAUUCAUUUUAUUAUUAUUAUAUUUUUUUUUGGCAGAGAACACUACAGUAAGUCAAAGAUUUAUUACUUGUGCAGUCCAGCUAUUUAUUUUGCAUGAAAGACAGUGGAAAACACUGGUCUUAGCAAGAAAAAUUUCCCCCUCAAAUUCUUCAUUUUUUUAUUCUUUUUUUUUCCAAGAAAUUUAAACAGUAAAUAUGACAAAGUGGUUGGAAAACUAAAUUAGCUUUGCUGCCAGGAUGCCUAAAUCUCAGAUUACCUGUAAAAACUGUUCAUGACAACACAUUGUGCUUUUUAAACUCCCUGAACACAUCACUUUCUGAAAUAUCUCUCUGUUCCCAAGAUGGAGUUAUCUGACGCACUCUUCCUAAUGUGUUUGAACAGUUAAACUAGCCUAAAGCACCAGAACUUAAAUGCAUUAUAAAUGAAUCACUAUGGAUACACGGUGUCUUGAUGAUCCUGAGUAUUUGCCUUUGUAUUACAUUUUGAUAUCUGUAGUAUUUGCCGACCCAGCAGAAAAACAAGCUUCAUAAAAUUUGAUUAUUUUAUUAGAGCAGUCAAAUUAAAAAGUUAAGGGGAUGUUGAAAUAUAAGACAAAUUGAAAUAAUAAAAUUUGCCAUCUGUUGGCUCUAACAGGUGAUAUCUUCACAAAACUCUGAAGCAAAAGAAGAGGGAUUGACAGGUUGAAUCCUGCAGCCUGUACCCAGGGCCAAAUCUUCUGCCUUUGGUACAGAGGUCUUUUUCAGUUUCAUUGCAAACACAUCUGUCCCCCAUGCAUGAAUGAUUGAGGAAGACAGGAAUGGGCCAUGCAAUCUUCCAGCUAUCUUGCCUGCUGUGUGCUGACACUACUGCCAAAUGCCAUCUGUCACAUAAGCAAUGUGUGGAGUUGAUUUCAAUAAGAAAAUGCGGUUAAAAGGCAAUUUGAUCUCCACUCUGACUUUGCGUUUUCUUAUUUAGAACUUUCUCUGAGUUCAGCGAGAGGUCUGGCUGAAUGCUAAUGAGGCAAGGAUUGCAGGACUUGGCCCAAGAUAUCAUAAAAAUCAGGUUGGAAUACUUCAUCUACAAUUACGGUUGGCAAGGCAAAGCUAGUAGCUCCCUCUUCUUUCCUCCUAGAACCCCCUUGUUACUGUGGAUCAAUGCAGUAUGCAGACCUCUGGUCAUAUAACAAAAUAGCUCUCAUUUACCUGGGUAGCUUAUUUUUCCACAGAAAUCAGGACUGCUUCAUUUACUGCUUUGGAAAUUAGUCCCUUAGAAGUCGAACCAACAUCCACUAAAAUUCAUGGACUACCUCCAAGGGACUGCAGCAGAUUUAGGUGAAACCCAACAUAUCUUCGUGUAGGAAACAUUAAUAUGGAAAGAAGAUUGCUCCAAUCCUUUUUGUGUGAAGAGGACAGAAGAUAGUUUGGCUUUCAUAUACCAGUACAGAAGUAGCUCUUUUGACCAACACAGCUGGAAAACCUGUGGCUUCUUUUUAAACAGAAGCUAACUUCAGCAGCCUGGCACUGAGGCCAUAUGUUGGAGCCAAAAUUGCAGAACAAAUUCAUACUGCUCAGAGCAUCCGCCAGAAAAAGUUGUCCCAUUGGGUGUGCCUUGUUAAAAGCAGCCUGCUGCUAGGGACCUGGAGCUGGAGCAGCCUGCAUGUGGUUUAGAUGGUCUGCAAAUAUGGUUUGUCGAUAGGUAAAUAAAUAACUUGUGAUGUUUUGCUCAAUGAUUUUUUUGUGCACUGGAAUUUAGAUUCACCAUACCAACACUAUUGUGGGUGUUUAAGGUAUUCUUCACUUUGGGAACCUUUGUGCAAAUUACAUAGUGAACAUUUCCUAGAUAUCAUUAACAACACAGGGAGCAAGAUGAACUUGGGAAAAUCACAUUAAUGAAGUCUAUUUUGUCUUUAUUAAAUAUAGCUAAGUUACACCAGAGUCUAAGAAGGUGAUGAAUUAAAUAACCUGGUCAAAUGAGAAAGACUUAAAAUAUCUUUCUUGAAGGCUUUUCUUCCCUAAAAAUAAAGAACUCUUCAGGUAGUCAGAGAUCAACAUCAUUCUCCUUCAAAACUGUUUCAUUACUCUGAUGACUGUGUAGACUGUGAUGUGCUUAGACUCCUGGGAGUGCAGAUACAGUUACAACAAUUGCUCAUAAUUUUGAUGAGCCAUUAAAGGUAAUGUGAUGUUUUGUAAUCUGUAAGUGGGAAAUUAAUGACACCCAAAAGCUGCUGCUACAACAGAUGUUCAGAUCCUGUGUUAAGUCUUUGUGCGUUCACAUGCCUUGAGUUAUAUUUAAUAUUAUUUAAGAGAGCCAUUAAGAAGUGGUAGCAUUGUUCAGAGAUAGCAUUAUGUUUUUAAAUAUUUUAAAGGUUUUUUUUUUUAGAUUUAAAAUUUUACAAAUGAAAAUUUUGUUAGAUAAUGCAUAUAUUUAAAUCUACAUUCAUAUACAUACUUCUUUUUUAUCUAUAGUUAUAUAUGUUCUCUAUAUACACACAUAUAUAUGAAGCAUGUAUUGAUUUUCCACCCUAAAUUCCCAUAAAUAAUACAGUAUUGGAUACAGUGAUGAUAAGGUACAGCAUCAGUUGGUAGUCAGGUUAGAAUCUGUGAAUAUAAUGUAUUAAUAUCUGAUUGUUAAAUUAAUGAUUAGAAUAAAAUGUUCUUAAGAGGAAGGAUUUCUGAGUUGUCUUGGUGCAAUGUUAGCUAACUAUAACUAGUUUGUUCUCACAUGUUCCAGAGAUGCAACAUAUGCCUCAGAGACUAAUUAUCACCACUGAUUGAGUAAUGAUUUCUGGAGCUUCAUGGCCAUUCCUGUUUAAAUGACACUGCAAGUUGAUUACACUGCAUAAUGCUAAAGCAGGGAGGGGAAGUUAUCCCAAUAAUCCCAGCCCUGAGAUAUACUGUGAAGGUGUAUAAGAAAGGGUCACAUAACCAAUUAAGAUUUUAUAGUGUAAAAAAAAAAAAAAAGAUCUUAGUAUUAAAUUAGUAUUAUCACAUUUUGAUUGAAAGAAAUGAGUGGUUCAAGGGUAUUAUGGAAGUCUGUUAAAUUAUUGCAGAACAUAACUGAGAUAAAAGAGAUGCAGCUGACCAAAUCCAGACUUGCACAUAAGAAGUGUGUUGUUCCUUCAGUCAAUAAAUAUUUUUUACAUAAAGUUCUUAUGGAAAACAAUACGUGUUUUUAUGGCAAGGUGUCUUCCUUGGUGAAGAAACAGGUGAAGCUAUAAUUCGCUAGGACAAAGUAGAAAAAUAUGCCCAGCUAUGCAUGGCUCUAAUGAUAUUUUUUAAUAGAUUUUUCUUUUCACAAAAUGAUUAUAAUUUCUAUGUCUGUUUUGAAGAUUGUAAAAUUUGAUCCCAGAAAAAUUCACUAAAGAAUUGUUCCACUGAGUCAUUGUACAAGUUUUCUAAUCCUAAAAUAAUCUAGUUUUGCGUGUGGGUGGGAGAGUCGGGAAACUUCUGUGGAUUUGUAAAUCCAUAAAGUGCUUUCUGUAAGUAGGCAGCAUCAAUCACUGAGAUGUCAGGCCAAAAUUAGUUCCCUAAAUUACCUUCCGAGUCAAUGAGUAGGCACCCACAUGUUUUGAGUCAACCACCUAUAAGAGAGACUAAACUUUUACUCAGUCAAAAUCAACUGACUCUAAGCUCAGAAUCUCAGGUCUUGAUAUACAAGUAUUUCAACAUAUUCCAAUGGCUUUUACAGCAGUUUAAAUAAAAACAAAUUAAAGAAAAGGAAAAUAAACUUUAGAAAUAGCCUUGCUAUUUCUAAAUUUCUUCCUCUAUCUGCUCUGAAUGCAGAUAUUUAAGUCUAAAGUUCACUGAUAAAAACUAGACUUUCCCCAAGAACUUCACUUUGAGUUGGGUGAAAAUGACCACCUCAUGAAGUUUUAAUUAUCAGUAGCUCUCAUAAGUAGGUUGUGGGACUCCUAUGAUGUAGGCUUCUCGAGUAUAGGAUAUAAAUGCUUCCAGAGUCUAUGACUUUAUUCACUAGCAACAACACCCUUGAAAAUUGUUCUCUCUCUCUGCAUAAAACAUUUCAAGGUUUCUGAUUAUUUUUUUUCCUACAAUUAGAAUAGAAUUUAUUUUUUAUACUAAUGGUGUGUUUGUAAUAAAGAGCUAACAUAUUUUUGUGGGUAAUCUUUUUGAAAAAGAAAAAAGUGAAG